GUAGGAAGUAGUUUCCAAGUAAUAUCUCCUGAACCAUUGUUCCAACAAAACAUGAAUGAUGGACAGUAUCACAACGUGGGACUCCAGGAGACAUGUUUUCAAUAUGGAAAGAUGAUUCUUGUUAUCAACCAACAUGGAUUUUCAAACCUGUACUUUGAUCUUCUCUAGUAAAGAGCCAGAACUUGCCAGAGAGAGAGUUUUGCUGGACACAGAAUUCUGACUGAGCAAGAAACAAACAGGGGAGAAAGGACUUAGAACUCUGCAAUGGAAGGCCCUGAGAAACUCCCAGAGGUGAAGCCUAAAGAUAACUAUGGUGUCUGCAGAGGAAAACAGUAAGAAUUUGCCUCCAAGAGACCUCCAAGCUACUAAGAUUGUCCUAGAGGAAGAGAACAAAGAAGCCCUGGAGGAGAGAGCCAGAGAAGCCAUGACGCCAGAGGAAAGCAGAGGAAGAAACUCUGUUGAUCUUGCUUUUGGAAGGAGAAAAUCUCUUACAAAGACCUGGAAGUGUGAGGUGACUUGACUUUUGCACAGCCAUAAUACAGUACGGAUAGAACAAUUAAUCCCGGGCAGAGAAAGAGACCAGCCAAUGUUUUACGAUGGUGGCCUCUACGAGCCACCUAACUACUCAUUUUCUGAACCAGAAAGCUAAGCACAGAAUGUG
rnacentral:lncRNA from 1 species